UGGGGCUUCUGUCUCUCCAUGUGAAGAUUACCAACUAUUUGGAGAGAAGGGAUAUAAUUGUGACACAAUAUGUUAAGUCCUGAACAAGGAGCAAGUGUGGACUCUGGAGCCCAGAGAAGACAAGGAUAUUUCUAACAGAGAGGGAGGUUUCAGGAAAGAAUCCACAGUCAAAUUGACAGAAAUCCUAAAAUGCAGGUAGGAUUUCACCAAGCAGAAAAGUGGAGAAGGACAGCAGCAAAGACCUGGCCUGGCUGGGAAACAGAAUUAAGAAGCACAAACGUGAAAAACAGAUACUCAACCAGGGAAGGAUCAGAGGAUCAGUACGGCAAGAGAUCAGCGUGGGUACUCUGGAAAAGCUGGGAUGGAACAUCCCGAGACUACACUCCAUUCGAGAGCCCACUUGGCCCCAGCAGCCUUUCUCCUCUCCUCGCUGGACCACAGAAGCCUGGGAUUUCUAUCAGGUGGAUACGGUUUUAGUCCCUUCUCUCUCUUCCAUGCUGGCCAGGGGAUUGCCAAGCUCCAGGCUCAUCCAUGAAGCUCUAUGUUUGAAAUGGCUACUUGACACAGGACAAUACUGACAUAGCUAAAUUUAUAAGCCUAGAUAUUUUCAACAUUUAUUUUAUUAUCAGCUAUUAUGCUCGAAAACCCUCACCCUAUCACUGAUGCCCUUCACACCUUUAUCCCAUCCUUGACUUAACUGCACUCCUGCUCAGGGGUAAAAAAGGAAGCUCAGGAUGGAUCAAGGGUCAGCAAUGUCUGACAUGCACAUUACUUGGUAAAGUGCAAAAAAAAAGUAAACACUCUUUUUUUCUUUUUG
rnacentral:lncRNA from 1 species